GGACUGGGGCUCAGUGGUAGAGCACUUGCCUAGCAUGCGUCAGGCACUGGGUUCGAUCCCCAGCACCA
rnacentral:tRNA from 1 species